rnacentral:rRNA from 1 species
CGCAGUAUUUUGACUGUGCAAAGGUAGCAUAAUCAUUUGUCUUUUAAUUGAAGACUUGUAUGAAUGGCUGAACGAGAAAAUAACUGUCUCUUUAAAAAAUUUUGAACUUUACUUUUAAGUGAAAAGGCUUAAAUAACUUUAAGGGACGAUAAGACCCUAUAAAUCUUUAUAUUAUUUUUCUUUAACUUUCAAAUUAUAUAUUAAAAGAAAUAAAAGAAAAAAAUAUUAUAUUGGGGAGAUAAAAAUAUAAAAUUUUUUUAACUGUUUUAAAUAUAAAACAAUAAUUUUUGAUUUACUAAAAAAUUGAUCCUUUUUUAAAGAUUUUAAGAUUAAGUUACUUUAGGGAUAACAGCGUAAUUUUUUUUGAGAGUUCUUAUCGAAAAAAAAGUUUGCGACCUCGAUGUUGAAUUAAAAUAUCCUUAUAAGUGUAGAAGCUAUAAAGGAAAGUCUGUUCGACUUUUAAAAUUUUACAU